rnacentral:tRNA from 1 species
GCCCGUGUGGCGGAAUCGGUAGACGCAAGGGACUUAAAAUCCCUCGACCAUUGGUCGUGCCGGUUCGAUUCCGGCCGCGGGCACCA